rnacentral:misc_RNA from 1 species
GAAAUGCGAUAAGUAGUGUGAAUUGCAGAAUUCAGUGAAUCAUCGAAUCUUUGAACGCACAUUGCGCCCUUUGGUAAUCCUUAGGGCAUGCCUGUUCGAGCGUCAUUUAAACCUUCAAGCUCAGCUUGGUGAUGGGCGACUGUCCCCCCCCCUCGCGGGGGGGACUCGCCUCAAAAACAUUGGCGGCCGGUACAUUGGCUUCGAGCGCAGCAGAAACGCGGUCUCGAGCCCGGUGGAUCGGCUCCCAUAAGCCUAUUCUUUUAUUUUGACCUCGGAUCAGGUAGGGAUACCCGCUGAACUUAAGC